rnacentral:rRNA from 1 species
UACGAAGGGGGCUAGCGUUGUUCGGAAUCACUGGGCGUAAAGCGCACGUAGGCGGAUCUUUAAGUCAGGGGUGAAAUCCCGAGGCUCAACCUCGGAACUGCCUUUGAUACUGGGGAUCUCGAGUCCGGGAGAGGUGAGUGGAACUGCGAGUGUAGAGGUGAAAUUCGUAGAUAUUCGCAAGAACACCAGUGGUGAAGGCGGCUCACUGGCCCGGUACUGACGCUGAGGUGCGAAAGCGUGGGGAGCAAACAGG